UGUAUUGGAUGAUAUCCAGAAUAAGAUAGACAGUUGGCUAUUCUCAUCAUAUUCACAAUCUUGGUAUACUUCUGGCAAAUCACAGAAUACUGGUAAGAAUAUUGUCAUCUUGGCCCAAUGGACGCACCCGUGGAGAAUAGGGCGUUUGCCUAUGUCAGGACUGGUGCUAAUUUGACUUCUCAGAUUAAAGAAUCUGCAGCAGAGGGACUUUUUAAAAGUUUUCACCUGCUGGUGGGUAAAAAUGUUAGGGAAAACAGUGUCAGAUUUGAGGCGCUCCUGGGAGUCUAUACCAACGCUAUAGAAUUUGUCAAAUUUCUAGAGACCUCCUUGGCUAUCGCCUGUCUCAAUACUGAAUUCAAGGAUCUCAGGAGAAUGGUAGAGGGAAAAAUCCAAUUCAAGGUCUCAGUGCCCACUAUAGCGCACGGUGAUGGAAGAAGACCAAGUAAACAAAGACAGUACCUUGUUAUGAAAUCUGCCCACAAACAUCACAUAAGUGCAGAAAUUGAGUUGUCCACAGAAGAUAUAGAACUUCUUUUUGCAGAAAAGGAAACCCAACUUGACGUCGCAGAAUAUGUGGGCGCCGUGAAGACUAUAACGUCAGCUCUCCAGUUUGGUAUAGAUGCCCUCGAGCGAGGCCUUAUUAAUGUGGUGCUCACGUCCAAAUUAAGACAGGCACCGCCCACCUUUAUUCUCCAAUCAAUUAAUGACCCUAGUGCUGCGCAGCGAGGGUUUGGUAAAGCUGCCAAGUCAGAUAUUGUGGCUAAUUUUAAAAAGCAUCUACUAGAGCACACCUUCUUCUUGGAUGAUGGACUUAGAAGCCAGAGGGGUAGGGAUUAUGUCCUGGCAGUGCUGUCAGACGCAGUGACUGCGGUCAACAGCGAGUCUGUGUUUAAAGGAGCAGACUUUUACACCACGGAGGGCGGGGAACCUGUCAGCGGCGUCUUUGAAACAACUGAUGGGACCAUGCAAAAACUUUUGAACCUGGUUGGUCAGGCAACCUCGUCCAUUAUGGCCCCUGCUGCCUAUGCAAAUUAUGUUAUCAGGGGAGGGAAUGUUGUGACUGCUAUGAGUUAUGGAAAAGUCAUGAAGAAUUUUGACAGCUUCUUGUCCAGAAUGAUUGAGAAUGGGACAAACAAGUCAGUGACUGAAAAUGACUUUUAUACUGAAAAUGGCGACACUGAUAUGGAUGUCUCCAAAACCACAAUACCUGCGGCUACCAUUAGAAUAGGGGAAAAGGUUUUUGCCAUUGAGAGCCUUCAGAGGAUGUAUAGAGAGACUCAGCAGGCUUAUCCCCUGAUAAGGACCAUGCAAUACGCCUAUUACUUUCCAGUGGGUCUCUACCUUCCAGAUCCAAAAUAUACUACAUCAGGAACUCUGAGAGGCCUGGAGGGAGGAUCGCCUCCUUUGGAAGCAUGGGUUGUCAAUAAGAACAAUCUCAUACAGUGUUUCACAUUUGAUAAUGCUCUAAAGAUGCUAUGCCAUCCAAGAUUUCACAACCCACAAUUGUGUAUUCAGAACUUGCCUGGAGAGGAGUUCCAGCAUGAUCACAUUCUUGGUUAUGGCAUACAGUCUCGUCAGAUUGGACAUAUGAAUCUAUAUAGAAUGAUGUAUGGGUACUAUGAUGGUAAAGCUGUUGCUCAUAUCCCAGACGUGGUGGCCAAGUCCGAGCUCUCCACCAGCGAGUUGCUGAGCCCACCCAUGGCCCAUCUAUUGAGAUUGGAGCUUCAUCCCCUGUUUGAUUUUUACAAGAUUAGGGGCGCCAAUGGUGCCAUUGAAUGUCGGGCCGUUCACAGAACACACGUUGGCAAUAUCCCAGAAGCAUUUGCCCCACCCAAGUUUCAAGAAGGGCGCGGCCAGCAGCUUGAGUCAGCCGCUGGGCUCUCACAUGUGAUUGAUCAACAAACUAUGGAAUUGAUCCAAGAGACAGCGUUUGAUGCCAACUACCCUCCAAUGUGUUAUGUUAUAGAAGCCAUGAUUCAUGGUCAGGAAGAUAAAUUUAUAAUGACCUCUUCUAUUGUGGCACUAACCAUAACUACAUACUGGAAUAAUACCGGACACUUGGCCUUUGUGAAUAGUUACUUUAUGAUCAAGUACAUCUGUAAACAUUUUGCCAAUGGCCUCAUACCCAGGGAAAUCUAUCUGAUCUAUAAGAAAAUUAUGGCAGAACUUAUUACCAUGGAACAGACUCUACUCAAGAUCUGCGGACAUGAGAAGGUGGCAAAUGUGUCUGUGGGGCAGUAUUUUAACAGCAUUAUGGAUCCUGCCCUCCUACCUCCCUUCAUUAAUGAUGAUAUCCUCUCAAAGGCCCUUAAAAACAAACAAAGAAAAGUAUCAUUUUACAUUGGAGACGAAUUAUAUGAUAACCAAGAAAGAAGGGAUGUCUACAUAAAGGAAAUAGAUACCCUAGAGAACUCUUAUGCUGCCUUUGAUGAUAUCUACACAGAUAUGCAUGAUGCAGACCAUGAAAACAGGAAGGUUCUAUUGUUGGGACCAGAGCCAGCGGGGGACCUGAUCCUUGAAAAAUUGUUUUACUAUGUGUUUCUGCCUGUUUGCACUAAUGGGCACGUGUGUGGCAUGGGCGUUGAUUAUGGUCAUGUUAUACAGACCCUGGGCUUUAAUGGCCCUGUCUGUUUGCCCAAUGUAAAUGGGGGGGAUGAUCUGUACCAACAUCUGGCUAAUGGACCUCUGAAAGAUCUCCUUUUGGCCAGCGACCUUAAACCUACAGUGGGGAUGAUCAGACUCCUAGUGGCCUGUUCUUUGACCACUCCAGCAGUGACUCAGAUUGUUAGGGUGGAGGCGGAGAGGGACUCUGCGCAACAGCUAGCCACCCACGAGAGUGGAACUAAAGUCAGACACAGUGUGCUGGUAAAUGGUAUAGCCGCCUUUGUGGUGGCAGAUAGGAACAAACAUGUGAUAGAGACAAUGUUCUAUCCUGUGCCUUUUCAUAAGUUUUAUGCUGAUCCAGUGGUUGCUGCAACCCUUCAUCCACUUGUUAAUAACUAUCUUAAUAAUAUUCCAUCUCAAAGAAAUGGAAUCUGUUUCAACGUGCCAAGUGAAUUCAUGGCAGAGUAUGAAGAGUGGCACAAGUCUCCCAUGCUCAAGUAUGUGAGAGAUUGUGAUGUGCAACCUCAGGCGCUAAGCACCAUGUUGGCCAUGCACAUGAAACUGUCACCCAUGGGAUUUAUUCACAUGACCAAGCUAAAGGUGCACCCCGGAGUUGCUCUAACAGUUGUGAGGACGGAUGAGUUGCUUACUGAAAAUAUUCUGUACAGCAACAGGGCAUCAACCUCUGUGUUUAUUGGAAGGCCAACUGUUAAGCGGCGAGAAAUCCGUGCAGAUGCUGUGGGAUUUGAUGUAAGCAAUGAAAUAGCCUCUUUAGAUACUGCCAUGGGGUACAGCUCAACUCUGAUUCCUGCUAGAGUUGCUGGAAUUACUACAGACAUGGGAAUCCACUGUCAGGACUUGUUUAAAAUGUAUCCUACAGAUAACUUCAAGAACAGGGAACUUACCAUCUUUAUCAAAAACAAAAUAGGAAGUGAGAGAGCACCCAACGCGAAUGUUGUGGACCCUCUCGCAUAUAUGGCUGACCCAAGACACGGAUCAGAGAUGUGUGGAUUGGCACAUGGUCAAUUGGCCACCUGUGAGGUGAUUCUAACACCUGUCACAUCAGACCUUACAUACUUUCAGUCCCCUAACAGCCCCAGAGGACGAACAGGAUGUGUGGUUUCAUGUGACACGUAUUCACCAGAAAAUGCAGCAAAGCUUUUGUAUGAUCACGGUCAGCCUGACCCAGCCUAUGAAUUCAGGACCACAAAUAACCCCUGGGCUUCCCAGAUUGGAUCACUGGGCGAUGCACUGUACAAUAAUCACAAUAGACAGCUUGUGACACCCGGUCUUUACAGUCCCUGUAGACAAUUUUUUAACAAGGACAUGUUGCUGAAAAACAAUAAAUCCCUGUUCACUC
rnacentral:lncRNA from 1 species